rnacentral:lncRNA from 1 species
CAGGUUUAAAAUGCUGUGGCUGCUGAGAACAAUGUGCUUUAUCCAUGUACUUGGAAAAAUAUUUUGUUUAUUUGGACCAAACAAGAAUCCUGAAUCUAAAAUGAAUGUUUGAUGGUUAUAUUCUUCCAAUUAACCGAAUUCCACAUGGGAAGGAUAAUGCUAAUAAUUCAGCCCCAAAGAUGGUAGUACUUUGUGUCCCUGGCUUGUUUUCAACUGCUGGUGUAUGGGUUUCCAAUCCUCCUGACAAAUGACGUGUGGUUGGGAAACAACAGAGGAAGUACCUGGGCAAAGAAACAUGUGACCCUCAACCCAGAUUCUAAAGAAUUCUGGGCUUUUAGUUAUGAUGAGAUGAUAACAUAUGACCUUACAGCCAUCAUUAAUUUCAUUCUGGAGAAAACAGGACAAAAGCAGAUUUACUAUAUUGGCCAUUCUCAAGGAACCCUAAUCGCUCUAGGGGCAUUUUCAACAAAUCAAGAACUGGCUGAAAAGAUUAAAUUCAGCAUUUUACUAGCUCCAGUUCGUACUGUUAAAUAUGUCAAAGGUUCUGGGCGCCUUCCAGCUUAUUUCACUCCAAAAGCUUUCAAGCUUCUUUUUGGUGAAAAAGAAUUCUUCCCUACCAAAGCUUUCAGUAGACUGUCUCCAAGUGUGUGUGAUAUUAACUUGGUCGAUGCUGGGUGUGCUACUGUACUGAGCUCACUGACUGGAUAUUCUCCAGAGCAAUUAAAUACGAGCCGUGUUGAUGUGUACAUAACACACAGUCUAGCAGAAUCAUCAACUCAAAUUCUUAUACAUUAUGGUCAGGCCACUAGAAGUGGUGUAUUUCAGGCUUAUGAUUGGGGAAGUCCAUCUCUGAAUAUGCAACACACUACUCCUCCUAUAUACCAUGUGGAAGAUAUGAAGGUUCCAACUGCCAUGUUUACUGGUUUAAAAGAUUUUUUGUCUAACCCAGAAGAUGUUGCAAAUUUGGUACCCAAAAUCUCCAACCUCACAUACCAUAAGAUUAUUUCUGAUUUCAGUCAUCUUGAUUUUAUAACAGGAUUAAAUGCUAGGGAAGAGGUUUCUGAGGAAAUUUUAACAAUUCUUAGGAAAUAUGACGGUGACAUAUAGCUUUAGCUUUUCACAUGUUUUUAAACCUUUCUGAAAGUCUCUUGCUAUUAUAAGUGAAAAUAUUUUCUUGCUUGGCAUUUUCCUCCCUAAUUAUCUUUUUUAAAAGCUAUUGGUUCAUUUGUUGGUUCAUUUGCAUUAGUGAAAUCUAUGACUAUCAAGAGAAUACUUCAUCUUGUGACUGUUUUUAAUUAAUCUAAGUUUAU